UACGGAGGGUGCAAGCGUUAUCCGGAUUCACUGGGUUUAAAGGGUGCGUAGGCGGGAUGGCAAGUCGGUCGUGAAAUCUCCGGGCUUAACUCGGAACGGUCAACUGAUACUGUGCGGCUAGAGUGCGGAAGGGGCAACUGGAAUUCUUGGUGUAGCGGUGAAAUGCGUAGAUAUCAAGAGGAACACCUGCGGCGAAGGCGGGUUGCUGGGCCGACACUGACGCUGAGGCGCGAAAGCCAGGGGAGCGAACGGGG
rnacentral:rRNA from 1 species